rnacentral:rRNA from 1 species
GAUGAACGCUGACAGAAUGCUUAACACAUGCAAGUCGAUGGGGAAGUGGUGCUUUCACCCUGGUCACCAUGGCGGACGGGUGAGUAACGCGUAAGGAACUUACCUGCGGGACCGGGAUAACAGCAGGAAACUGCUGACAAGACCGGAUAAGGUCAUUAAGCUGCAUAGCUGAGUGAUGAAAGGAGCCGCCUGCGGAGAGCCUUGCGUGCUAUUAGCUAGUUGGGGGGGUAACGGCCCACCAAGGCGAAGAUAGUUAGCCGGCCUGAGAGGGUGGACGGCCACAAGGGGAAUGAGAGACGGCCCUGACUCCUACGGGAGGCAGCAGUGGGGAAUAUUGGACAAUGGGGGCAAGCCUGAUCAAGCACUUCUGUGUGCACGAAGACGGUUUUCGGAGUGUAAAGUGCUUUCAGCAGGGAAGAAGGAAGUGACGGUACCUGCAGAAGAAGCGACGGCUAACUACGUG